GUAGUCUCGCACAGAUGCAUAUCAAUAAGCGGAGGAAAAGAAACUAACAAGGAUUCCCCUAGUAACGGCGAGUGAAGCGGGAAGAGCUCAAAUUUGAAAUCUUAAAGGGUUUCCCUUUACGAAUUGUAGUUUAAAGAAGUGUUUUCUGUUGAGGUUUUGGUAAAAGUUCUUUGGAAUAGGACAUCAUAGAGGGUGAGAAUCCCGUAUUUGACCUUUACUUUCAACUUUGUGAUACACUUUCAAAGAGUCGGAUUGUUUGGGAAUGCAGUCCAAAAUGGGUGGUAAAUUUCAUCUAAAGCUAAAUAUUGGCGAGAGACCGAUAGCGAACAAGUACCGUGAGGGAAAGAUGAAAAGAACUUUGAAAAGAGAGUUAAGCAGUACGUGAAAUUGUCAAAAGGGAAGCGUUUGACACCAGUGUUGUUUUUCUGAAAAUCAAUUAAAGAACUGUUUAUGCUAAGCUGUUUAGACUUUAUCAGCUAACUGUUUAGUUUUGAGCUUUUCUUUAAUGCACUUUUCAGUUAACAAGUCAACAUCAAUUUCUUUUGCUGUAAAAAAGCUUGAGGAAGGUGGCUUGAGAUUCGUCUUAAGUGUUUAUAGCCUCUUGCCUAUGCAGUCGGAGAGAUUGAGGUCUGCAGCGUAGAUCCUUCGGGGCUAAAUGCAUUUGUGCUAAGUUAUAGCAUUUUAUAGACAACUUGUUGACUAUGAUUUGUCUUGUAGCUUACUCGCUUAUGUUAUUUUACCUACGCUUAGGAUGUUGAAGACUCUACAGAGAU
rnacentral:rRNA from 1 species